rnacentral:tRNA from 1 species
GGGAGUGUCGCCUAAGGAUGAGGGCAUCGAUCUUCUAAAUCGAUUUGUGUAGAUACCCUUCGGGAACGCUUACGCGAACGAUUCCUACCACUCCUGCCA